GGGAUGGCGGCGUGCUAUACAUGCAAGUCGAGCGAAUGGAUUAAGAGCUUGCUCUUAUGAAGUUAGCGGCGGACGGGUGAGUAACACGUGGGUAACCUGCCCAUAAGACUGGGAUAACUCCGGGAAACCGGGGCUAAUACCGGAUAACAUUUUGAACCGCAUGGUUCGAAAUUGAAAGGCCGGCUUCGGCUGUCACUUAUGGAUGGACCCGCGUCGCAUUAGCUAGUUGGUGAGGUAACGGCUCACCAAGGCAACGAUGCGUAGCCGACCUGAGAGGGUGAUCGGCCACACUGGGACUGAGACACGGCCCAGACUCCUACGGGAGGCAGCAGUAGGGAAUCUUCCGCAAUGGACGAAAGUCUGACGGAGCAACGCCGCGUGAGUGAUGAAGGCUUUCGGGUCGUAAAACUCUGUUGUUAGGGAAGAACAAGUGCUAGUUGAAUAAGCUGGCACCUUGACGGUACCUAACCAGAAAGCCACGGCUAACUACAAGCCAGAAAACCGCGGUAAAAAA
rnacentral:rRNA from 1 species